GCCGAGAGCCCAAGGCAAUCUAUUGUUCUGGGGAAUAUAUUGGUUUCUAAUUCGGACGGGUCGAAUUUUUGACGAAAUUUUCGGUUCGUCCGGGGUUGUCGGGCCUCGCCCCUCUGGUUGCCCUUUUGUGGGCCUGUUAAAAAGGCCCUCUUAAUGCCUACAGGGUGGAAGGAGUUUGAAAAAGCACUGAUGCCUUAAGCAUCUCGACCAUCAAGAGUCGAUAAUGAUGAUGAAAGACAUCAUCAAUAGAAGGGGAAAAAAUGUUUUCGCCAUAUGGAAGGAAAAACCAGCCAUUUUUUGAGUUGGAGUAAAGCAUCAUUGGUGUGGCAUAUACCCAAUAGUGGAUCCAGAAAUCAAUGCCAGAAACAAUGUGCAGUAAAAAAUUUUUACUAUCUGAAGUACCCAGCUUUAUAUGGAAAAAACUCCUGGAAUAGGGUGCAGCUUCACCCUGCAUGUCCUCUCUAAAUCUGUCCUUGCAUAUACCUUCGUUGUUGAUGUCGCAAAUCAUGGUCUAACGUUAAAGUCAAAAAUCACACCCUUGGUCAUGAUGCAGUUUGUGUGACUUUGUGGAAGCUUCCAGUUUCUACGAAGUCAAACAAAACCUCAUCACGUAUUAAACAGUAGUAAUUGUUAUAUGUAUUAACUGAUAUUUUGCAUUAACUGAAGUCAUUGAAUUUCUAGCAUUGUUUACAGGAUCACAAAUCUAUUUUGCAUUAACAUGUACUUACAUAAGCCAAUUACAUAAUGAAGGGGUUCAAUUCAGUGGCGUAAUGAACAUAACCGGCGCCCGUGGCACGACACUUUUUUGGCACCCUCACCCUCAAAUCUUGUUGUCUUGGAGACCAUUUGGUGCCUCUCUGCGCGUGGCGCCCGGGGCAUGAUAGACCCCUUUGCCUCACCUUUGCUAUGCUAGUGGUUCAAUUAUGUUUACAAAAAGAAAUAUUACUUAGAAAAGUUGAUUUUACUCUUUCAGUAAUUUUCUUAUAAUUUAUAACAAACUUUUUUCUAUUUUCAUCUCUUCCUGCCCUGACAGCACUUUCUGUUCAUUGUGUGAUGUUAGAGAUUAGAGUCAACAUAUCCUUUUUUUAAAAUUCUUUCUUCUCCAUUGAAAACUAAGAGGACCCUUUUAUUCUUUCCGUUGCAGGUUCAUCCAGACCCACAAUGGGGCAACCGAGUGCUGAGGGACAGCUUGACAUAUCCAGACAGUCUACCCCAAAAACUUCCUGGAGUUAUUUGACUGCCAAGAUUCAUUCCCAGGUUUAACAGGGCCAUGGGCAUUUAUAAAGCACAGCAAUAGGACAAAUCUAGUGAUGUCAAUACAAAAGGAAUGUAAUUGCAAUUUAUGACUCUGAGAUAAUGCAAAAUAGGACAUCUCACUUUACAACAGCUUUCCAGGAAUCAAUUAUGUCAUAAAAACAGAACUUUAUCCUGUAUGCAGGACAGUGAGUGUUUAGUUCCUGACCAUUACAUGAGACAUUUAAACAUCCUAAUACAUAUAUGCUUAUUAAAAAAGUACAUAUUAAUCAUAAAUCAAAGCAAAAAAUUAAUGAUAAAUGUGAUUAAUCUUUGUAUAAAAUUGCAUAAAAAGUCUGUUUAUAAUGUGUAUAUUGUUAAUGAUUAUUAAAUACUUUUAAUAAUCAUUAAUUAACCUAUAGAAUAGCUAAAAAAUCUCUAUAAGAUUGUAUACAAUGUACAGAUGAACUAGAUUGUAGACUAUUAUGUUGUGGCAUCUCAAAAUACAGACUUAAUAAUAAUACAAAUAAUACAAAAAUGCACAAAGUCAAAGAAAAUGUAAGAGAAAUUGCUUUGAUUUAAAAAAUAAAAUAAAUAUACUGAACUCUGCUAACUUUGAAAUUUUUUUCUAAACUUUGCACUGUGGACACUAUUAGGGCCUCGCUGAAUCCAUAAUGGGCUUGCUAAAGCCUAUUAUGGAUUCAGCCAGGCCCACAAUGGGGCAGCUGGAUGGUGAAAAACAGGACCUAGUAUAGUAGUAAUAAAUAAAUAUUCACAAAUUUCAUUAUAAAAAUCUACUUUUAUUUCUUUUCCAUAUUCCAAUGUAACCAACAUUAUACUGUAAACAUUUUUCUAACAUUUCAUCACAUAGUUACAAAAAAACAACGAAACAUUUACAGAAUGCAAAUACAUGAAUAUAUUCCAAGCUAAAUCUGUACAUCACGUGACUGUAUUUAACAAUAUAAACAUACAAUACAUUUCACAUUAAAUGAAAUUUCGUUUGGUUCUUUUAUCAAAAUAAAAAAAUAUUUAAUAUGAAAAAUUUUAAUGUUUGUUCUUAAUUCAUUACACCUGUUAAACUGUGUUAUAUAGUCAGAUGGAUUUUUAUUAUUAAAUUAAUAAUUAAAAAAUGGUUAAUUAAAAUAUUAUUGCUUAUGAAUACAGUUACACAU